rnacentral:lncRNA from 1 species
GAAGAGUUUGCCAAGCAUUUCUCCACCCCUGCUGCCCCUGAUAAACCAGUAUAGGUGCACAGGGUUACAGUAUCACCCACCUCUGGCUAAAACCAGUCCAAGUUAGACUGAAACUCUAAAUGGAUGUUUUGUUUUGUUAAUUAAGAAACAGAGCUAUGUGUAUCACACACCUUUCUCCUUCCUCCCCUUUAGACAUUCCAAACUGCCCAUUCCACACCCAAACUGCUCAUUCUACGUACGUUUUUUUCCCGAUUGUCAAGCAUAUGGACAAAAAAUUAAGGAGAAAAUCUCAGUAACUAAACACUUUGUCCAAGAGGGACACUGGGAACAUAAAUGUGACUUGUUUAGUCCAGGUCAAUAGGCAUUCUUUGAAGGUACAGGUAGGUCUCAGGCAGCCCACUCCACCCCAUGUUCCUAAGGCUGUGUUCAACUUGUAUCUCCUCCAACCUCUGCCAGAAAUUUGUACAGCCUCAAAAAUACUUGAGGCCUUUCCGGAAUACACGAGGCUAAAGCACUCACAAAAAAGGUGUAGGGAGUCAUUUGAUAAAUAAUUAAGCAUCUACUCUGCACCAGUGUGGUAUAAACACAUAAUCCAUGUGCUCAGAGCCUAUAGCCUUCUAAGAGGGGCUUCGCCUUAGCAAGCACAAAUAACUAUAUAGUCUAGGCCAAUGAAAAAAUGCCAGGAAGAAAAAUAAGGUUGACCUUGCACAGAGGCUGGGGGCUAAAACAGGAAGGGUUUGGGUUGAAAAGUAAGAGGUACUGCAUUCCAAACAAAAGGUAGGAGAAGAGUGAGGGGAAAUGAAAUUGGCAAGAUGAAACAGAGCCACUCUACAAGAUUGGGUCUCACCUUGGAUGCACUUGGGAGUAACAGGAUGGUUCUGAAGAGCAUGUGAUGAUUCUCCUGUCUAGGAAGACCAAGUCUAGGCUAGAGAGGAGAGCCCUCCACAAGAUAGGGCUAGGGGAAGUGAAGCAGACAGGUCCCCAAAACACAUUGAGGGAGAACUGAGAGGUGAUGAUGUGCGAAGGCACCAGGCUCUAACAGCUGCUUCAAAGGGAGUGGCAAGUCUUGAUGUUUGGGUUCCAAUAAAAGAAUAUCUAGGGAUUGGCGCUCUCCUUUAAGUGCAUAUAAAAUACUUAUGAACUCUUCAGAUUCAUACAGUGAAAGAGUUGGUCUGAAAGUGUUGUUAAGAACGACCUGGCACCUUCAACAAAGAAAUAAUCUCUCUAUAAAACUUCCCAGGACAAAUUAUUGGAUCCUAAAGUAUACCUAAUUCAUAAAAAUGAAGUGGGACAUACUACCCACAGAAAUGACUGUACUACAGUUUUCAUGAAACUGCUAUGAGUAGAAAUUUAUUUUCCAAGACAUGAAAAGAAUCAAAGGAUCAUAGAAAAGUAUCUCAAUGGCAUCUUCCCUUGAAACAACUCAAUCAGCAAACUCAUCUCUACAAAAUGAUGUCAUGUAAGUGAAGAUGGUAAUAUUAAAACUGUAUGGUUGGGGGAAAGCCUUACAGUGAUCCAUUACUUCAAAACAGGAAUUUAUUACCACUCUGAACAGAAAUCAUACACUGAGACACUGGGUGAUUUAGC